AGAGUUUGAUCCUGGCUCAGGAUGAACGCUGGCGGCGUGCCUAAUACAUGCAAGUCGAGCGAACGGACGAGAAGCUUGCUUCUCUGAUGUUAGCGGCGGACGGGUGAGUAACACGUGGAUAACCUACCUAUAAGACUGGGAUAACUUCGGGAAACCGGAGCUAAUACCGGAUAAUAUUUUGAACCGCAUGGUUCAAAAGUGAAAGACGGUCUUGCUGUCACUUAUAGAUGGAUCCGCGCUGCAUUAGCUAGUUGGUAAGGUAACGGCUUACCAAGGCAACGAUGCAUAGCCGACCUGAGAGGGUGAUCGGCCACACUGGAACUGAGACACGGUCCAGACUCCUACGGGAGGCAGCAGUAGGGAAUCUUCCGCAAUGGGCGAAAGCCUGACGGAGCAACGCCGCGUGAGUGAUGGAGGUCUUCGGAUCGUAAAACUCUGUUAUUAGGGAAGAACAUAUGUGUAAGUAACUGUGCACAUCUUGACGGUACCUAAUCAGAAAGCCACGGCUAACUACGUGCCAGCAGCCGCGGUAAUACGUAGGUGGCAAGCGUUAUCCGGAAUUAUUGGGUGUAAAGCGCGCGUAGGCGGUUUUUUAAGUCUGAUGUGAAAGCCCACGGCUCAACCGUGGAGGGUCAUUGGAAACUGGAAAACUUGAGUGCAGAAGAGGAAAGUGGAAUUCCAUGUGUAGCGGUGAAAUGCGCAGAGAUAUGGAGGAACACCAGUGGCGAAGGCGACUUUCUGGUCUGCAACUGACGCUGAUGUGCGAAAGCGUGGGGAUCAAACAGGAUUAGAUACCCUGGUAGUCCACGCCGUAAACGAUGAGUGCUAAGUGUUAGGGGGUUUCCGCCCCUUAGUGCUGCAGCUAACGCAUUAAGCACUCCGCCUGGGGAGUACGACCGCAAGGUUGAAACUCAAAGGAAUUGACGGGGACCCGCACAAGCGGUGGAGCAUGUGGUUUAAUUCGAAGCAACGCGAAGAACCUUACCAAAUCUUGACAUCCUUUGACAACUCUAGAGAUAGAGCCUUCCCCUUCGGGGGACAAAGUGACAGGUGGUGCAUGGUUGUCGUCAGCUCGUGUCGUGAGAUGUUGGGUUAAGUCCCGCAACGAGCGCAACCCUUAAGCUUAGUUGCCAUCAUUAAGUUGGGCACUCUAAGUUGACUGCCGGUGACAAACCGGAGGAAGGUGGGGAUGACGUCAAAUCAUCAUGCCCCUUAUGAUUUGGGCUACACACGUGCUACAAUGGACAAUACAAAGGGCAGCGAAACCGCGAGGUCAAGCAAAUCCCAUAAAGUUGUUCUCAGUUCGGAUUGUAGUCUGCAACUCGACUACAUGAAGCUGGAAUCGCUAGUAAUCGUAGAUCAGCAUGCUACGGUGAAUACGUUCCCGGGUCUUGUACACACCGCCCGUCACACCACGAGAGUUUGUAACACCCGAAGCCGGUGGAGUAACCUUUUAGGAGCUAGCCGUCGAAGGUGGGACAAAUGAUUGGGGUGAAGUCGUAACAAGGUAGCCGUAUCGGAAGGUGCGGCUGGAUCACCU
rnacentral:rRNA from 1 species